CUUCCUCCUCGGGCUCCCUGCGAGCCCCACGAGGAGCACAGCCCCCGGCAGGCCGCGGGCACGGACCCCACGGAGGGACCCGCAAGAGAGAAAAUGACUUGUCCAAGAUCAUACCUGCCAAGGUAAGUGAGCUGGGCCAGGAAGUCCUGGGACAGAGGGAAUCCACCCCCCCGGGCGUUCCUGGCCUGGGAGCCCAGAAUCCUGGGCCGGCUUUGCCAUCACUUCCCUUUUCUGGGCCACCUCCAACUCCCAAGGGGUGGAGGAGCUUUAAUGAGCCUGAGAUUAGGGGGCAGCCUCUGCGCCCACACCCUGCCCAGAGCCCAGGGACGGUCGGGCAGCAAGCGUUCGGGGAGCACUUCCUCGUGGCUCUGGCCCAAGGUCCGAGUUUGCUUAGGCUAGAGUAGACUCCCCCAGGAUGAGCCCAGCCUCCUAGAGCCAGGAGAAGCCAGUCCGGCUUUUACAGAAAAGGAAACCAAAGGCCCAGGGAGGCGAGAGGACAGGCCCCAGCUCCCACAGGUACUAAGGGGGAGUCAGAAUUUGAACCCGUAUCCUUGGAGCUCCCUGGGCCUGCCCUGCAUGUCCUGGCACAAGAGGGAGAGGCCCCUCUGGGAGGGUUCUGGAGCCCUGACUCGGCCCCUGGGGCUACGGGCCAGCUCCGUGGGUGCAGGCAAGCCCCCCUCACCCCCAGGAGGCCCAAAUGGGCUCUUGGCUGGGAAGGCCUUGACAAAAUUAAGGGAUCGUUAGCGUCUGAUGCCAUUUGGGCAGCGCCCCGGCCAGCGGGUGCCUCUGGGAACAAAAGGCAAGUCCCCUUUCCUCCAUCUCUGUCCCAAGUCCGAGGUCCCGCGGGCCCAUCACCUGGCUCAGCUUCCUCCUCCGUGAGGGGGCCAAUGCCGUGCUCCUUGUGCUGAGAGGGACUUGGGGUUCAACGGCUCCUUUUACAGAGGGGGAAACCGAGGCCAUGCAGGGGGGGUGCCCGGGGUCCAGAAUCUGGCGCUCCGGAGCCAGUCCCCGGUCCGCUGUGCCAGGGGAACUCAUUCCCUGGCGACGGCCCCUCUGCCCCCGUUGACUCUGCUUGUCCCUCCCUUUGUGCCCAUCACCCCCAAAUCUUUCAGGAGACAGUCUCCUGUGACCCCAGGCCUGAGGAGGCGAGCAGAGCCUGCAAUCCUUGCAGGGGUGGGGUGGCCUGGGGAGGGGGGUGGGGGGCCUUCCGUUGGGAAGGCCCAGGGCGCUGGGGCCCCGGCAACGGUUGGGAACAGGAAACCGAAAGGACAAAGAAGGCCGAGGGAGGGAGGGGGCCCGGGCUGUAAAUCAGAGCCGCUCCCCAGUUUAUUGAGGCUGGCAGGGGCUGGGCACGGACUUCGCCCGGGGUAAGGAGCGUUGGCAGGGCGAGGGCACGCCGAGUGGGCGCCAGGUGAUAAGGAGCCAAUAAAGAGACUAUGACCCCGAGGCCCGCAGGAGGCCGGGCACGGGCGCCACCCGAGGAAGACGGCAGGAGGGGAGCCGCCGUGGCGCCCACCCCCUGUAACAGCAACUCCAUGUGGGACGGCUUCCUUCUUCCAGUGGGGGCGCUGUUACCUUGGGUGGGCAGCCCAGAUCGCCGCAGAAAGAAGAGGCUGCGGGGCCCACCCCGAGACCGGCGAAGGGCGGGCUGCACCCCUCCCCCUCAGAGUGCGCAGGGCU